GUAAGUUCUAGAUUUGGAGCCGAGAGAUAGCUAGGAUUGCUUCCAAAAACACUUUGUUCUUUUUCUUGUUCUUGCCUUUGUUUUAUUUUUUAUUUUUCACUAUUUUAUUCUUUUUUGUUUUUCUAAAUGCCUAGUGCUUUCCAAUGGGUCUCACUUGCAGCAAGCUGCGUUAAGGACUCAGAUUAACCAUUUUUGGUUAAAG
rnacentral:misc_RNA from 1 species